UACAGAGGGUGCAAGCGUUUUUUUUUUUUUUUUUUGUUCGGAAUUAUUGGGGCGUAAAGGGCGCGUAGGCGGGCGCCCACAAGUCACCCUGUGAAAUCUCCGGGGCUUUAACUCGGGAGCCUGCAGGCGAAAACUGUGGUGCUGGAGUGUGGGAGAGGUGCGUGGAAUUCCCGGGUGUAGCGGUGAAAUGCGUAGAUAUCGGGGAGGAACACCUGUGGCGAAAG
rnacentral:rRNA from 1 species